GCCAGCAGCCGCGGUAAUACGAAGGGUGCAAGCGUUACUCGGAAUUACUGGGCGUAAAGCGUGCGUAGGUGGUUGUUUAAGUCUGAUGUGAAAGCCCUGGGCUCAACCUGGGAAUGGCAUUGGAUACUGGGCAGCUAGAGUGCGGUAGAGGGUAGUGGAAUUCCCGGUGUAGCAGUGAAAUGCGUAGAGAUCGGGAGGAACAUCUGUGGCGAAGGCGACUGCCUGGACCAGCACUGACACUGAGGCACGAAAGCGUGGGGAGCAAACAGGAUUAGAUACCCUGGUAGUCCACGCCCUAAACGAUGCGAACUGGAUGUUGGGCUCAACUUGGAGCUCAGUAUCGAAGCUAACGCGUUAAGUUCGCCGCCUGGGGAGUACGGUCGCAAGACUGAAACUCAAAGGAAUUGACGGGGGCCCGCACAAGAA
rnacentral:rRNA from 1 species